ensembl:snoRNA LOC120095738 small nucleolar RNA SNORA29
UUUCCCAUUUGACUACCACACUUUCUCCUAAUAGAGUUUAGUGGCUAUGCUUAUGGGAUAGAUGAAGGGUGCCAUGAUCUGAACAGGGGCUGCUCCGUGUCUUCCCUUUGUAUGAAGUGGCUGAACAGGAAGAA